GAUGAACGCUGGCGGCGUGCCUAAUACAUGCAAGUCGAGCGAACAGACGAGGAGCUUGCUCCUCUGACGUUAGCGGCGGACGGGUGAGUAACACGUGGAUAACCUACCUAUAAGACUGGGAUAACUUCGGGAAACCGGAGCUAAUACCGGAUAAUAUAUUGAACCGCAUGGUUCAAUAGUGAAAGACGGUUUUGCUGUCACUUAUAGAUGGAUCCGCGCCGCAUUAGCUAGUUGGUAAGGUAACGGCUUACCAAGGCAACGAUGCGUAGCCGACCUGAGAGGGUGAUCGGCCACACUGGAACUGAGACACGGUCAAGACUACUACGGGAGGCAGCAGUAGGGAAUCUUCCGCAAUGGGCGAAAGCCUGACGGAGCAACGCCGCGUGAGUGAUGAAGGUCUUCGGAUCGUAAAACUCUGUUAUUAGGGAAGAACAAAUGUGUAAGUAACUAUGCACGUCUUGACGGUACCUAAUCAGAAAGCCACGGCUAACUACGUG
rnacentral:rRNA from 1 species